rnacentral:lncRNA from 1 species
CCAUCUAAUCAGCUGCCAGCACAGCCAGAAUAAAAGCACACAGAGGAACAUGGAAGGAGUAGACUUGCUGAGUCUUCCAGCCUUCAUCAUUCUCUCGUGCUGGAUACUUCCUGCCCUCGAACAACAGACUCCAAGUUCUUCAGCUUUUGGACUCUUGGAUUUACACCAGCAGUUUGCCGGGGGCUCUGGGGCCUUCAGAAGGCUGCACUGUCAGCUUCCCUACUUUUGAGGUUUGGGGACUCGGACUGGCUUCCCUGCUCUUCGGCUUGCAGACAGCCUAUUGUGGGACUUCACCUUGUGCUCAUGCAAGUCAAUACUACUUAAUAAGCUCCCCCUCAUUUAUACAUCUAUCCUGUUAGUUCUGUCCCUCUAGAGAAACCUGACUAAUAUAGCAUGUGUAUGUGCUUUUCCCUUUGCUUGGAAUGCUUGUCCCCACUCUGACCCUAAGCACCACCACAACCUUCCUUCCUGGAGCUCAGGCUGUUAUCCUCCAGGGCUCUGCUGAUUCCCUGGGCACCCCGCACUCUGCUUCACAGCACUCAUCACAUUUGUCACUUGUGUAAUUUGUUGCUUAUCCCAGGCUUCCGUAUUACAUGAUAAGCUCCAUUAAUGACAGUGUUGUCUGCCUUGGUUUUGUUCAUGAUGAGCACAGUGCCUGGCCCACAGUACCAGCUCACUAAGUAUUUAGCAAAGGGCUUUAUGAGGUCAUCCCUGGCUCCAGCACCUCACAAUCUUUAUGGUGACUGUUCAGAGGGCAGCUAAGCAGAAAAGAAGUUUUCAACAAGGCUGUUUCUGGCCUGUUUUCCCUCUCAGUACUACAUGGCAAGUCACGUCUCCAAACUGAGGAGUGUGCCUGAAGAGUCAGGUCUGGCAGAGAAAGGAUUUCUUGCCCUAGGUUUAAACAAGCAAUGUCAACAUAACUUCCAAAGGCAUCGGCUGCUUGGAAGAAGUGAAUCCCUUGGGUCAUUCCCUUGAUUAUUGUGAACCCGUGGCUGAGCAGGACAGAAAUGUCACACAGGUGGACUGAGAACAAAAUGAUUUCAGAUAUGGGAGCCCCAAAGUGGCAUCCCAAGGACAAGUGCUCAGAAUUGCAUGACUUGGUUUUCUGUUGAGCUAUUCUGUCUUGGAUAAUUACAGCAUGAGCUCUUGGCCAGUGGUGGGAAUUAAUUGGUUUUAAUUCUCCCGCAAAGAUUCUCUUAAGUAAAAGUAAAACAUUUG